rnacentral:lncRNA from 1 species
AUGGCUUCAACGACGUGGUAUGAGACAGCCAACUGGAGCCACCGGCUGCGGCAUGAAGCCGAGUGGGCCGGUCAGACGUUCAGCGUGGCGGGGCUCUGCGACACACCUCCAACACCGGACCUGGGAGACCACGUACUGAGGGAUUGCCUCCGUGCCCCAGUGGUGUACUCUGGACCUGGCCAUAGAGCGCUCCCCCCGGGCCGGACUGGACAGCGCCGUGCUGGGCUGGAACAGACACGGGCAGCGGGAAGAGGUGAGGCUCUGCUCGCUCCGAGUAACACUUUAGAAAUGGAAGGUCGACAAAAUGUUGGGUCUCUGGUGUGAAUUCAUGGGUGUGUGUCUGCUGUGCAGCAUAUGUUAGCUGGUGUGUGUUGGUGUGUGUUGGCGUGUGUUGGCGUGUGUUGGCGUGCGUUGGCGUGUGUUGGCGUGUGUUGGAGUGUGUUGGCGUGUGUUGGCGUUUGUCAUGAUGGCAUACAUCAGAACCAAAUGGUGUAUUCAGUCACUGCCUCUUUAAAUGAACUUUCUUCUGAUUGGUGCCCUUUAGUCUUGUUCCCCUAAACCUCCGGACGUUGACCUGAAUCCUGACAUGGUGCUGCAAAAUGUCUGGGAAAGAGGGUAUUUUAGGCAGGUUUGUGAUGUGUGUUGUCAGGUCAGAGCUCUCUGUUCUUGGAGGGAUGUGGUGGCAGGCAGCGAGAUGACAGUGGAACUGAGACAGCCGUUCACCAAGACACUCUCCCAAAUGUACCUCCACACACUCUCCAACACCUCCACCACAGAGCAACGGAGCAACCAUCAGGUACCACACACACACACACACACACACACACACACAGAUACAGUACACACACACAUCCACUCUACUCAACUUAUAUUACCUGUCUCUAUAGCAUCAGUGUUAGUAUAAUUGAUGUGUGUGUGUGUGUGUGUGUGUGUGUGUGUGUGUGUGUGUGCGCUCAGGCCCUUGUCUCCUGGAACAGUGGGUCACCUGUGAACGUCUCCCUCACCCUCAGCCAGCAGUGGCAGGACAACUCCAGCAGGGGGCAGGCUUGUGCCCGCUUCUCAACUGCACAGGUGCAAUCAAUUGUACAGACAUAAUAUCCUAUGCCUUUACUGGGUGAAACCUGUCGCUAUGGUGAAACCUGUCUCUAUGGUAAAAGUUGACCAGGUUAUUUUCUUUGUGUGUGUCUUGUCUUCAUGCGUGUGAUCGGCAGGCUGUAGCCCCUUCCCCAUUGGCUGUUGAAGGCUGUGUCUCGGUGGCCAAGGAAGUGAAUACUUACUCCCAGAAUGCCGAGCUGAAGUGGGAGGAAAAGAGCCUUAGACAAGGCUUUAACUACCAGGUGCUGAUUGUCAUUAUAUAGGAUAGGGAUACAUGUGUUUUAUGCGUUGUUUUAUGGA